UGGGGAAUAUUGCACAAUGGGCGAAAGCCUGAUGCAGCAACGCCGCGUGAGGGAUGACGGUUUUCGGAUUGUAAACCUCUGUCUUCAGUGACGAAUAAAUGACGGUAACUGAGGAGGAAGCCACGGCUAACUACGUGCCAGCAGCCGCGGUAAUACGUAGGUGGCGAGCGUUGUCCGGAAUUACUGGGUGUAAAGGGAGCGCAGGCGGGACAUCAAGUUGGAUGUGAAAUACCGAAGCUUAACUUCGGAGCUGCAUCCAAAACUGUUGUUCUUGAGUGGAGUAGAGGCAAGCGGAAUUCCGAGUGUAGCGGUGAAAUGCGUAGAUAUUCGGAGGAACACCAGUGGCGAAGGCGGCUUGCUGGGCUCUAACUGACGCUGAGGCUCGAAAGUGUGGGGAGCAAACAGG
rnacentral:rRNA from 2 species